ensembl:ncRNA Y38F2AL.9 ncRNA
UUUUGGGUUUGUAGGCCACCAACUUCAAAUGGUCAGAACUCGGCUUAAAAUCAAUAUUUUCGAGU